rnacentral:rRNA from 1 species
CGCGUGAGUGAAGAAGGCCUUUGGGUUGUAAAGCUCUUUUGUAGGGGAAGAUAAUACUGUACCCUAAGAAUAAGGUCCGGCUAACUUCGUGCCAGCAGCCGCGGUAAUACGAAGGGACCUAGCGUAGUUCGGAAUUACUGGGCGUAAAGCGCGCGUAGGCCGUUGAGUUAGUUAAUUGUGAAAUCCCAAAGCUUAACUUUGGAACUGCAAUUAAAACUGCUCGACUAGAGUUUGAUAGAGGAAAGCGGAAUACAUAGUGUAGAGGUGAAAUUCGUAGAUAUUAUGUAGAACACCAGUUGCGAAGGCGGCUUUCUGGGUCAACACUGACGCUGAGGCGCGAAAGUAUGGGUAGCAAAGAGGAUUAGAUACCCUCGUAGUCCAUACCAUAAACGAUGAUUGCUAGAUGUUGGAAAUUUAUUUUCAGUAUCGCAGCUAACGCAUUAAGCAAUCCGCCUGGGGAGUACGACCGCAAGGUUAAAACUCACAUGAAUUGACGGGGACCCGCACAAGCGGUGGAGCAUGUGGUUUAAUUCGACGAUACGCGCAGAACCUUACCAGCCCUUGACAUGUCUGUCGCGA